rnacentral:rRNA from 1 species
GUAGGGUGCGAGCGUUAAUCGGAAUUACUGGGCGUAAAGCGUGCGCAGGCGGUUAUGCAAGACAGAUGUGAAAUCCCCGGGCUUAACCUGGGAACUGCAUUUGUGACUGCAUGGCUGGAGUGCGGCAGAGGGGGAUGGAAUUCCGCGUGUAGCAGUGAAAUGCGUAGAUAUGCGGAGGAACACCGAUGGCGAAGGCAAUCCCCUGGGCCUGCACUGACGCUCAUGCACGAAAGCGUGGGGAGCAAACAGGAUUAGAUACCCUGGUAGUCCACGCCCUAAACGAUGUCAACUGGUUGUUGGGAGGGUUUCUUCUCAGUAACGUAGCUAACGCGUGAAGUUGACCGCCUGGGGAGUACGGCCGCAAGGUUG